UUGAAAAUUUAGUUCAAUGGGAACGCCGUUAAGAGGGGGAAACCUCUCUCGGGUUCCUUAUGAUCUUAUCCACCCUUUGUGAACUGGACCCAAACAAUUUCUUUUUUAAACGCUAAGAAACAUGUUAUGAAUGGGCUAGCUAUUAAAUAAAAAGUAA
rnacentral:misc_RNA from 1 species